CUAUUUUGGAGGGGAAGAGGAAAUGGUACCGUUACCUUCAGCAAAACGCGCUGGUUUUUAAACUGUCUCAUGGACAAUGCAAAGUAGAGAGCCUGGACUUUAAACUACCAUCGAGUUUUUAAGUUUGAACUCCUCCGAUUAUAUUUGAACAUUGACGCGCCGCGGUCAUAGAAAACUGUUGAACAGCAGCGGAGCAGCCGACUUGAUAGCAUGUCAUCGGUGAGGGACAGCAGCACGCUAUACCAUGAAGUAUACUGUAUGUAUACUUCAUGAUUAAUACUAUACAGAACACUAACGUAGCGCCAUCUGAAUACAAUUUAAGUAGUUAAGCCUAAA